rnacentral:rRNA from 1 species
UCGAGAAUUUUUCUCAAUGGGCGCAAGCCUGAAGGAGCGACGCCGCGUGGGGGAUGAAGGGCUUCGGUCCGUAAACCCCUGUCAUUUGCGAACAAACCUUUGGAUUGAACAGGUCCAGAGCUGAUUGUAGCGAAAGAGGAAGGGACGGCUAACUCUGUGCCAGCAGCCGCGGUAAUACAGAGGUCCCAAGCGUUGUUCGGAUUCACUGGGCGUAAAGGGUGCGUAGGUGGUCGGGUAAGUUUGGUGUGAAAUCUCCGAGCUCAACUCGGAAACGGCACUAAAAACUAUUCGGCUGGAGGGUCGGAAGGGGGGCUGGAAUUCUCGGUGUAGCAGUGAAAUGCGUAGAUAUCGAGAGGAACACCAGUGGCGAAAGCGAGUCCCUGGACGACUCCUGACACUGAGGCACGAAAGCUAGGGGAGCAAACAG